CUACUCUGAAGAGAUUAUCUCUUUCAGAUAAUAAGUUAAAUGGAAGUAUUCCAGAUGCCUUAUCCAUAUUAACUCAACUAACAGAAUUGUCAUUAAACAAUAACCAUUUAACUGGACAAAUCCCAUAUGUGUUUCUACAAUUCACCAGUUUGACAAAUAUGAAUCUGUCAGGUAAUAACUUGAGUGGU